GCAUGAACACUGUUGACCCAGUUCGAUUGCUCAAAAUUUUGUGAAAAAUUCAUCUUCAAAGGCUUGGUAUGCAGUGAUAUCAGUGAAUAAACGCGCGGUCUCUUUUAUAGACAUGUACAAUACAAUUACUUAAAAUACUCAUUAAUAAUUCAUAAACCUUGUGGCAAAUCAUGUCAGCCAUAAUAUGUCACGUGGAGUGACUUUAUAUCUGAUAAAACACAUGUGGCAUUAUAUAAUUGUUCAUCUUAAUUAGCAUGAUUAUAUUAUGGUUCAUCCUAAUUAGUAUUCUUUUGUAGUCGUAUUUUAAGUGCUAUUCAAAACACUCGUUGUCGUGUUUUAAAUAGUACGUAA